UACGUAGGUGGCAAGCGUUGUCCGGAUUUACUGGGCGUAAAGAGCGCGCAGGCGGUCGGUCAAGUCGAGUGUGAAAGCCCCCGGCUCAACUGGGGAGGGUCACUCGAAACUGAUCGACUCGAAGGCGGGAGAGGGAAGCGGAAUUCCCGAUGUAGUGGUGAAAUGCGUAGAUAUCGGGAGGAACACCAGUGGCGAAGGCGGCUUCCUGGCCCGUUCUUGACGCUGAGGCGCGAAAGCUAGGGGAGCGAACGGG
rnacentral:rRNA from 1 species